UGGGGAAUAUUGCACAAUGGGCGCAAGCCUGAUGCAGCCAUUCCGCGUGUAUGAAGAAGGCCUUCGGGUUGUAAAGUACUUUCAGUCGGGAGGAAGGUGGUAAGGUUAAUAACCUUAUCAAUUGACGUUACCGACAGAAGAAGCACCGGCUAACUCCGUGCCAGCAGCCGCGGUAAUACGGAGGGUGCAAGCGUUAAUCGGAAUUACUGGGCGUAAAGCGCACGCAGGCGGUUGAUUGAGUCAGAUGUGAAAUCCCCGGGCUUAACCCGGGAAUUGCAUCUGAUACUGGUCAGCUAGAGUCUUGUAGAGGGGGGUAGAAUUCCAUGUGUAGCGGUGAAAUGCGUGGAGAUGUGGAGGAAUACCGGUGGCGAAGGCGGCCCCCUGGACAAAGACUGACGCGCAGGUGCGAAAGCGUGGGGAGCAAACAGG
rnacentral:rRNA from 1 species